rnacentral:rRNA from 1 species
UGGGGAAUUUUGCACAAUGGGGGAAACCCUGAUGCAGCGACGCCGCGUGAACGAUGAAGGUCUUCGGAUUGUAAAGUUCUGUCCUUAGCGAAGAUAAUGACAGUAGCUAAGAAGCAAGCCCUGGCUAAAUACGUGCCAGCAGCCGCGGUAAUACGUAUGGGGCAAGCGUUGUCCGGAAUUAUUGGGCGUAAAGGGUAUGUAGGCGGUUAAUUAAGUCUGAAUUUAAAGGCUGUGGCUCAACCACGGUUCGGUUUAGAAACUGGUUAACUUGAGUAGAUGAGGGGAAAGUGGAAUUCCAUGUGUAGCGGUGAAAUGCGUAGAUAUAUGGAGGAACACCAGUGGCGAAGGCGACUUUCUAGAAUCUAACUGACGCUGAGAUACGAAGGCGUGGGUAGCAAACAGG